GUUUUUUUUUUUCGACGUUUAGGUUUUCCACCGGUCUUCCUUAGCUUUUCAACUAAAAAAAUUGAAUUUUUGCACGAAAAAACAUGUUUUUUUUUUCCCUUUCGCGAGAGUCACAGUUUUGCUUCCGCGAGAGUCACGGUUGUGCUUUCGCGAGAGUCACGGUCGUGCCUCUCGAAAACGAAAAAAAAACACGUUGUCUUUUUUUUUCACGAGAGUCACGGUUUUGCUUCCGUGAGAGGCACGGGUGUGCUUUCGCGAGAGUCACGGCCGUGCCUCUCGGAAACGGAAAAAAGUGUGUUUUCUGCUUUAUUUCUUUCGCGAGAGUCACGGUUUUGCUUCCGCGAGAGGCACGGUUGUGCUUUCGCGAGAGUCACGGCCGUGCCUCUUGGAAAGGGAAAAAAACGUGUUUUCUGUUUUUUUUUCCUUUCGCGAGAGUCACGGUUUUGCUUCCGCAAGAGGCACGGUUGUACUUUCACGAGAGUCACAGCCGUGCCUCCUCGGAAACGGAAAAAAACGCGUUUUCUCUUUUUUUCCUUCCACGAGAGGCACGGUUGUGAUUUCGUGAGAGGCAUGGGCGUGCCUCUUUCAGAAAGGGAAAUCCAUGCUCCCGGUUCGAUUUUUUCGUCCGGUUUUUUGUGAAAAAAAAGUUCGUCAACACCUAUCAACAUGGAAUCUAGUUUUGAAGAUCUCGACGCGAGGAAUCUAACGGUGAAAAAUCGGCCCAGUCGCGCCCCCAGGUCCUUGUUUAUCGCCAGUUUGAGCCGAAAUAACAGCCGGUGAACCCGAGCCGAACCCAAGCCCCCGCGGGUCGCCUGGGAGCGCCGGCCGAAGCGAAAAGGCGCGUGGGUCCGCUCUGUCGGCGAGAGACGGCCCUUUUUCCCGCCGAUCCCCCGCUCCCUCCCCCCCCCCCACUUUCCCUCCAUUCUCCCCUUCUGUCCCUCUUCUGUCGCCAUUAUCCUUCCUCUCCCCUUCGUCCGGCUGCCAUGCGGACGAAGAAGUAUACGGCCCCUCGCGCCAUUGCCGCCGCCGACGCCACCCAGCCGAAGCAGAGCAAGCCGAGGGUGCCGCCGGCAAAACCACCGGGCAUGUCGAACGCCGACUGGAAGGCGGAGGUUCAGCGUCGGGAAGCUGUCACCACCGACCGGCGGAACAGGCUCAAUGCCAAGAGGACCCGGGACAGGCCGGCGGCGGCGGAGCGGGCGGAGGCGUCCCGCGCGGCGAAGCAGGCAGAGGCCUCUCACGCGGAGAUGAUGAAUCCACCCGGUGGCCACGGCCCGCAAGCCUAGAGCCAGCAGAGCCUCGGGUCGCCGGUCGGCUUCUUGCCGUCGCCACAGCCCCGAGGGUGCGUGCCCUCGCCUGGCUACGCUGACGGCGACGCCCACGGCAGGUUCAACCCCAACAUCACCUUUCCGCAUGGCCACCCCGCCCAGCGCACGCCCUCACCCGCGUUCGCCGGCGUCCAGUAUCUUCCGUACACCUACUCGCUGCCGGCUUACGCCGCCUCCCCGACGCCGUCGCUGCGCCGUGGCGCCCUGCACUUCUCGCAAGCCUCGUCGUCACAUCUCGGCAACCACGACGUGAUGGAAGCCGACAUGGACGACAUCAUCACGAGAGGCUCGGUCGCCGCCGCCGCCUCCCCCGGGUUCCAUGCGCAAGACGAUAUAAUGGACCUCACUGGCGACAUGGAUGACGAGCUCGACUACGGCGAGGAGGAGGAGGAGGAAGAGGGGGGGGAGGAGCCUGCGCCUGCUCCGACGAGGAAGGGGAACAAGAAGAAGCGGGCGGCCAGGGCCGGCGAGACGCUUGUCAAGUGGGCGUCCAAAGAGGACGAGUGCCUCGCCGAAGCAUGGAAGACCGUCUGCCUCGACCCGAUCACCGGCACGAUCCAGAACGCUGAGAUGUACUAGGAGCGCAUCAAGUCAGAGUUCGAUGAGUGCAAGUUGGUCGGCUCCUACUUCACCGGCAUCCACAUGCAGCGCGGCUUGAAGGCCAUGGCGAACCAUUGGGCGCUCAUCCAAACGGCCUGCAACAAAUGGCAUGGAAUCAUCGAGGAGGUCACGGCUCACCCGGAAAGCGGCACCAACAUCGAGGGUCAGGUAUGCACAGACGGCGGUUCUCGCUCUUUUUCGCCGUGUGCGUCGUCGCCGACACUUGUUCUUCGGCGUAGAUGGUUCGGAUGUUCGCCAUGUACCGCCAGGACAGCAGCACCGACCAAGAGUUCAAGUACCUCCACGUGUUCUCUCGGAUCGAGAAGUGCGAGAAGUGGGCGGAUGUCCGGCGCACCCUCGCCAAGGCCAAGGAGACUUACAAGCCGGACGUGCCGAUGCCGGGCGCGGCGGACGGGCGCCCAGACGGCAACAAACGAGCCAAGACGGCGAAGGACGCCGCGCCGUCUGCCGCGCGGCUGCAAGCGUCCAUCGAGCAGUGCAUCGCCGACGCCAAGAACCACGUCGCCUAGAGGGAAGAGAAAUCUGAGGCGCGGUGGUCGGCGUUGAUGACGAAUAGCGCCGUCAAGCUCGACCUACUCCGGACCAACGUCGCCGCGAAGAAGAGGAACACCAACCUGGCAUUCCUGAUGGGGGCGGACAUGUCGACGAUGGACGAGCAGGUCAAGGCGUGGUACCUGGCCUCAUCUUGAACCAGAUGUUGUCGACGACCGCGCCAACUCCCACGCCGACCCCAAUGCCGCCGCCAAGCCCGAGCGAUGAUGCCUCUACGACGCCCAGCAUAGAAGCCGACGCCGACCAUCCCGCGCAUGCCGACUCCCGCCAGUCCGACGCCGGAUGAUGACAACGCCGCCGUUUGAUGCAUUGCCUACGCGUCCCUCCUUUUGCUGAACUUUCGAGUGAUUGAUCGCCGAAUUGUGGCAUGGUGAUCGCCGGACUUGUGGCGUUUUUUGGGUAGCGGGAAAUGUCAAGUUUGAAAUUAUACCGUCUUGGGGCCGACACCUGAGGGCGUGGCUGGGAACUAGAUCGCCUCCAGGGCUGAAAAAGCGUCGACCGGUGCGCUGGGGGCCGAACGAGUGGAGAUGCUCUUAGGCCACAUAGGCUCAACCAGCGCUUAAAAAUAAUUGUCUUAGCGGGCGUGUCUAUUACUAUGCCUCCCUUACAGCGGCCUGUUCUAAAUUUACAUAAACCUUGAAAAAAUAUGCAUACUAGUACUCCCUCUGUUCACUAUUGUAAGAGCAUCUCGAUCCCGCAUCCCGGCGCUUGAAAAAAUAUGCAGACCCCGCAUCCCGCCCCGACUCGUAAAAUAACCGCCAAAAUACGGGUCGGCGCGGAAAAGCCUGCCCGAUCACACACCACAAACGCGUCCGACCCGUAAAAAAAUUUGCGGGGCGCGGCAAAAGAUCUCCCCCGACCUCUAGAUUCACGGGGUGGGAGGACGACCCGAGCUCGGCCCCUAUCCGCAGCAAGAUUUGGCGGGAGGGACAUUUCUGCGCGGCCGUUCCCGCUCCCCCACCCUCUGCCACCAUUGCCCCCGCCACCUCCUACUCCGGUGCAUCUUCCCCGAUAGUCCUUCGCCGCCAUGGAUGACUCCCUGCCGUCCCCCGUCACGGUCGAGGUCAUGCACGCUCAAUCCCCUCGAGCGAAUCUCGUCGCCAGCCAUGUUGGCCCCGCCGUCGCCCAAGGCACCACUGCGCCUGCCCACAAGCGGCAGGGCAACAUGGUCGUGCAGGGCGGGGAUCCGGCUGCCCUCGCCGGGAAGGCCCGUGCUCCGGGCGCCAACGCCGCUGCGCGAUCUCGGCCGGCGACGGAGAAGGCCGGCAAGGUCUCGGGCGUAAAGCGGAAGAAGAUUCCGGCUACAAAGAAGCCGGCUCCUUCAUCCACUCCCUCCGCCCCGGAAAGAGGUUCCCCGGCGAUGCCGCUCAACGGUGCUGCUUCCACCGCAAGCGAGGUGUUUGACGAAAUGGCCGGAAGGUAUGCCUCUUUGGUCAUGGCAAUUUUCUUUGCUUUUCGCCAUUUGCAAAAGCUCGUGACUUGUUGUCGUUCACUAUAGCGGUGGUUCGAACAAUGCAACUGUCGAGUUCGUGUGAACUUGUUGGACACCAACAUCGUUGACAUCGAUCAAGCCCCGUUCGCUGCAUACGAUUACAAUGAAACAGAGGGCGGCGUGGAUGAUCACGGUGGUGAAGAAGAAGUGGAGGAGAUAGAUGAGGGGGUGUAUGAGCAAUCGCAAACAAGAAAAGGCCAGAGAUCGAAGAACUACACGAUCUUGAAAGAUCAAAUCUUGAUCAAGGCAUGGAAUGCGGUGUCUCUUGAUGCAUGCGCGGGUACUUCUCAAACCGCCAAGAGGUAUUAACAAAGGAUCGAAGAUCAAUACUUCCGCAUGAUGGCAAAGUAUCCCAAUAGGACUGCGCAAAGCGGCCAUUGAGGAGAGAAGAGCACGUGCCGCUGAAAACAAAGCCAUGUCCAAGUUGCUUGCCGAAGAGAACAAGAUCAUGACAAUGAACCGCAAUGACAUGGACGACCUCACAAAAGAAUGGCAUGAUAUGGCAAGAAGAGAAAUCUUGAAGAGGAGAAUGGUUGCGUCGGCCAGUGCGUGUUACAGUGCCGGAGAUGUUUUCUCAGCGGGGUCUGGAACCAAUGUCGCCGAUGUUGGGGAACGUAGUAAUUUCAAAAAAAAUCCUACGCACACGCAAGAUCAUGGUGAUGCAUAGCAACGAGAGGGGAGAGUGUUGUCCACGUACCCUCGUAGACCGAAAGCGGAAGCGUUAGCACAACGCGGUUGAUGUAGUCGUACGUCUUCAUGGUCCGACCGAUCAAGUACCGAACACAUGGCACCUCCGAGUUCAGCACACGUUCAACUCGAUGACGUCCCUCGAACUCCGAUCCAGCCGAGCUUUGAGGGAGAGUUCCGUCAGCACAACGGCGUGGUGACGAUGAUGAUGUUCUACCGACGCAGGGCUUCGCCUAAGCACCGCUACGAUAUGAACGAGGUGGAUUAUGGUGGAAGGGGCACCGCACACGGCUAAGAGAUCCAAGGGAUCAAUUGUUGUGUCUAUGGGGUGCCCCCCUGCCCCCGUAUAUAAAGGAGCAAGGGAGGAGGAGGCCGGCCCUAGGAGGGGCGCGCCAAGGGAGUAGGAUUCCUACUCCUAGUUGGAGUAUGUUCCUUCCUUUCCUAGUCCAACUAGGAGAAGGGGGGAACGGGGGAAGAGGAGAAGGAAGGGAGAGGGGGUCGCGCCCCAAACCCCUUGUCCAAUUCGGACUGGGCUUGGGAGGGGGGCGCGCCACCUCCUGGCUGCUGCCUCUCCUUCCCACUAAGGCCCAUUAAGGCCCAAUACUUCUUUCCCGUAUUCCCGUAACUCCCUAGUACUCCGAAAAAUACCCAAAUCACUCGGAACCUUUCCGAUGUCCGAAUAUAGUCGUCCAAUAUAUCGAUCUUUACGUCUCGAUCAUUUCGAGACUCCUCGUCAUGUCCCCGAUCUCAUCCGGGACUCAGAACUACCUUCGGUACAUCAAAACACAUAAACUCGUAAUAUAACCGUCAUCGAACUUUAAGCGUGCGGACCCUACGGGUUCGAGAACUAUGUAGACAUGACCGAGACACGUCUCCGAUCAAUAACCAAUAACGGAACCUGGAUGCUCAUAUUGGCUCCCACAUAUUCUACGAAGAUCUUUAUCGGUCAGACCGCAUAACAACAUACGUUGUUCCCUUUGUCAUCGGUAUGUUACUUGCCCGAGAUUCGAUCGUCGGUAUCUCAAUACCUAGUUCAAUCUCGUUACCGGCAAGUCUCUUUACUCGUUCUGUAAUACAUCAUCCGCAACUAACUCAUUACUUGCAAUGCUUGCAAGGCUUAAGUGAUGUGCAUUACCGAGUGGGCCCAGAGAUACCUCUCCGACAAUUGGAGUGACAAAUCCUAAUCUCGAAAUACGCCAACCCAACAAGUACCUUCGGAGACACCUGUAGAGCACCUUUAUAAUCACCCAGUUACGUUGUGACGUUUGGUAGCACACAAAGUGUUCCUCCGGUAAACGGGAGUUGCAUAAUCUCAUAGUCAUAAGAACAUGUAUAAGUCAUGAAGAAAGCAAUAGCAACAUACUAAACGAUCAAGUGCUAAGCUAACGGAAUGGGUCAAGUAAGUCAUAUCAUUCUCCUAAUGAUGUGAUCCCGUUAAUCAAAUGACAACUCAUGUCUAUGGCUAGGAAACUCAACCAUAUUUGAUUAACGAGCUAGUCAAGUAGAGGCAUACUAGUGACACUAUGUUUGUCUAUGUAUUCACACAUGUAUCAAGUUUCCGGUUAAUACAAUUCUAGCAUGAAUAAUAAACAUUUAUCAUGAAAUAAGGAAAUAAAUAAUAACUUUAUUAUUGCCUCUAGGGCAUAUUUCCUUCAGUCUCCCACUUGCACUAGAGUCAGUAAUCUAGUUCACAUCGCCAUAUGAUUUAACAUCAAUAGUUCACAUCACCAUGUGAUUAACACCCAUAGUUCACAUCGUCAUGUGACCAACACCCAAAGGGUUUACUAGAGUCAAUAAUCUAGUUCACAUCGCUAUGUGAUUAACACCCAAAGAGUACUAAGGUGUGAUCAUGUUUUGCUUGUGAGAUAAUUUUAGUCAACGGGUCUGUCACAUUCAGAUCCGUAAGUAUUUUGCAAAUUUCUAUGUCUACAAUGCUCUGCACGGAGCUACUCUAGCUAAUUGCUCCCACUUUCAAUAUGUAUCUAGACCGAGACUUAGAGUCAUCUAGAUUAGUGUCAAAACUUGCAUCGACGUAACCCUUUACGACGAACCUUUUGUCACUUCCAUAAUCGAGAAACAUAUCCUUAUUCUACUAAGGAUAAUUUUGACCGUUGUCAAGUGAUCUACUCCUAGAUCACUAUUGUACUCCCUUGCCAAAAUCAGUGUAGGGUAUACAAUAGAUCUGGUACACAGCAUGGCAUACUUUAUAGAACCUAUGGCCGAGGCAUAGGGAAUGACUUUCAUUCUCUUUCUAUCUUCUGCCGUGGUCAGGCUUUGAGUCUUACUCAAUUUCACACCUUGUAACACAGGGAAGAAACUCUUUCUUUGACUGUUCCAUUUUGAACUACUUCAAAAUCUUGUCAAGGUAUGUACUCAUUGAAAAAACUUAUCAAGCGUCUUGAUCUAUCUCUAUAGAUCUUGCUGCUCAAUAUGUAAGCAGCUUCACCGAGGUCCUUCUUUGAAAAACUCCUUUCAAAUACUCCUUUAUGCUUUGCAGAAUAAUUCUACAUUAUUUCCGAUCAACAAUAUGUCAUUCACAUAUACUUAUCAGAAAUGCUGUAGUGCUCCCACUCAUUUUCUUGUAAAUACAGGCUUCAUUGCAAGUCUGUAUAAAACUAUAUGCUUUGAUCAACUUAUCAAAGCGUAUAUUCCAACUCCGAGAUGCUUGCACCCGUCCAUAGAUGGAUCGCUGGAGCUUGCAUAUUUUGUUAGCACCUUUAGGAUUGACAAAACCUUUUGGUUGCAUCAUACACAACUCUUCUUUAAGAAAUCCAUUAAGGAAUGUAGUUUCGACAUCCAUUUGCCAGAUUUCAUAAAAUGUGGCAAUUUGCUAACAUGAUUCGGGCAGACUUAAGCAUCACUACGAGUUAGAAAAUCUCAUCGUAGUCAACACCUUGAACUUUGUCAAAAACCUUUUUCCGACAAGUCUAGCUUUGUAGAUAGUAACACUACUAUCAGCGUCCGUCUUCCUCUUGAAGAUCCAUUUAUUUUCUAUGGCUUGCCGAUCACCGGGCAAGUCAACCAAAGUCCACACUUUGUUCUCAUACAUGGAUCCCAUCUCAGAUUUCAUGGCCUCAAGCCAUUUUGCGGAAUCUGGGCUCAUCAUCGCUUCCUCAUAGUUCGUAGGUUCGUCAUGGUCAAGUAACAUGGCCUCCAGAACUGGAUUACCGUACCACUCUGGUGCGGAUUUCAUUCUGGUUGACCUACGAGGUUCGGUAGUAACUUGAUCUGAAGUUACAUGAUCAUCAUCAUCAGCUUCCUCACUAAUUGGUGUAGGAGUCACAGGAACAGAUUUCUGUGAUGAACUACUUUCCAAUAAGGGAGCAGGUACAGUUACCUCAUCAAGUUCUACUUUCCUCCCACUCACUUCUUUCGAGAGAAACUCCUUCUAUAGAAAGGAUCCAUUCUUAGCAAUGAAUGUCUUGCCUUCGGAUCUGUGAUAGAAGGUGUACCCAACAGUCUCCUUUGGGUAUCCUAUGAAGACAUAUUUCUCCGAUUUGGGUUUGAGCUUAUCAGGAUGAAACUUUUUCAUAUAAGCAUCACAACCCCAAACUUUAAGAAACGACAACUUCGGUUUCUUGCCAAACCACAGUUCAUAUUGUGUCGUCUCAACGGACUUAGACGGUGCCCUUUUUAACGUGGAUGCAGCUGUUUUUAAUGCAUAACCCCAAAACGAUAGUGGUAAAUCGGUAAGAGACAUCAUAGAUUGCACCAUAUCUAAUAAAGUACGGUUACGAUGUUCGGACACACCAUUACACUGUGGUGUUCCAGGUGGCGUGAGCAGUGAAACUAUUUCACAUUGUUUUAACUCAAGACCAAACUCGUAACUCAAAUACUCUUCUCCACGAUCAGAUCGUAGAAACUUUAUUUUCCUGUUACGAUGAUUUUCCACUUCACUCUGAAAUUAUAUGAACUUUUCAAAUGUUUCAGACUUCUGUUUCAUUAAGUAGAUAUACCCAUAUAAGCUCAAAUCAUCUGUGAAGGUCAGAAAAUAAUGAUACCCGCUACGAGCCUCAAUAUUCAUCGGACCACAUACAUCAGUAUGUAUGAUUUCCAACAAAUCUGUUGCUUGCUCCAUUGUUCCGGAGAACGGCGUUUUAGUCAUCUUCCCAAGAGGCAUGGUUCGCAAGCAUCAAGUGAUUCAUAAUCAAGUGAUUCAAAAAUCCCAUCAGCAUGGAGUUUCUUCAUGCGCUUUACACCAAUAUGAUCUAAACGGCAGUGCCACAAAUAAGUUGCACUAUCAUUAUUAACUUUGCAUCUUUUGGCUUCAAUAUUAUGAAUAUGUGUAUCACUAUGAUCGAGAUCCAACAAACCAUUUUCAUUGGGUGUAUGACCAUAGAAGGUUUUAUUCAUGUAAAUAGAACAACAAUUAUUCUCUAACUUAAAUGAAUAACCGUAUUGCAAUAAACAUGAUCAAAUCAUAUUCAUGCUCAACGCAAACACCAAAUAACACUUAUUUAGGUUCAACACUAAUCCCGAAAGUGUAGGGAGCGUGCGAUGAUGAUCAUAUCAAUCUUGAAACCACUUCCAACACACAUCGUCACUUCACCCUUUACUAGUCUAUGUUCAUUCCGCAACUCCUGUUCCGAGUUACUACUCUUAGUAACUGAACCAGUAUCAAAUACCGAGGGGUUGCUACGAACACUGGUAAAAUACACAUCAAUAAUCUGUAUAUCAAAUAUACCUUUGUUCACUUUGCCAUCCUUCUUAUCCGCCAAAUACUUGGGGCAGUUCCGCUUCUAGUGACCAGUCCCUUUGCAGUAGAAGCACUUAGUCUCAGGCUUAGGACCAGACUUGGGCUUCUUCACUUGAGCAGCAACUUGCUUGCCGUUCUUCUUGAAGUUCCCCUUCUUCACUUUGCCGUUUUCUUGAAACUAGUGGUCUCGUCAACCAUCAACACUUGAUAUUUUUCUUGAUUUCUACCUUCGUCGAUUUCAGCAUCACGAAGAGCUUGGGAAUUGUUUCCGUUAUCCCUUACAUAUUAUAGUUCAUCACGAAGUUCUACUAACUUGGUGAUGGUGACUAGAGAAUUCUGCCAAUCACUAUCUUAUCUGGAAGAUUAACUCCCACCUGAUUCAAGCGAUUAUAGUACCCAGACAAUCUGAGCACAUGCUUACUGCUUGAGCUAUUCUCCUCCAUCUUUUAGCUAUAGAACUUGUUGCAGACUUCAUAUCUCUCAACUCGGGUAUUUGCUUGAAAUAUUAACUUCAACUUCUGGAACAUCUCAUAUGGUCCAUGACGUUCAAAACGUCUUUGAAGUCCCGAUUCUAAGCCGUUAAGCAUGGUGCACUAAACUAUCAAGUAGUCAUCAUAUUGAGCUAGCCAAAUGUUCAUAACGUCUGCAUUUGCUCCUGCAAUAGGUCUGUCACCUAGCGGUGCAUCAAGGACGUAAUUCUUCUGUGCAGCAAUGAGGAUAAACCUUAGAUCACGGACCCAGUCCGCAUCAUUGCUACUAUCAUCUUUCAACUUAGUUUUCUCUAGGAACGUACAUAAAACAUAGGGAAGCAACAACGCGAGCUAUUGAUCUACAACAUAGAUAUACUAAUACUACCAGGACUAAGUUCAUGAUAAAUUAAAGUUCAAUUAAUCAUAUUACUUAAGAACUCCCACUUAGAUAGAAAUCCCUCUAAUCCUCUAAGUGAUCACGUGAUCCAAAUCAACUAAACCAUGUCCGAUCAUCACGUGAGAUGGAGUAGUUUCAAUGGUGAACAUCACAAUGUUGAUCAUAUCUACUAUAUGAUUCACGCUCGACCUUUCGGUCUCAGUGUUCCGAGGCCAUAUCUGUUAUAUGCUAGGCUCGUCAAGUUUAACCUGAGUAUUCCGCGUGUGCAACUGUUUUGCACCUGUUGUAUUUGAACAUAGAGCCUAUCACACCCGAUCAUCAUGUGGUGUCUCAGCACGAAGAACUUUCGCAAUGGUGCAUACUCAGGGAGAACACUUAUAACUUGAUAAUUUAGUGAGAGAUCAUCUUAUAAAGCUACCGCCGAACUAAGCAAAAUAAGAUGUAUAAAAGAUAAACAUCACAUGCAAUCAUAAUAUGUGACAUGAUAUGGCCAUCAUCAUCUUGUGCCUUUGAUCUCCAUCUCCAAAGCAUCGUCAUGAUCUCCAUCGUCACCGGCAUGACACCAUGAUCUCCAUCAUCUUGAUCUAUAUCAAUGUGUCGUCACAUGGUCGUCUCGCCAACUAUUGCUCUUGCAACUAUUGCUAUCGCAUAGCGAUAAAGUAAAGCAAUUAUGUGGCACUUGCAUCUUAUGCAAUAAAGAGACAACCAUAAGGCUUCUGCCAGUUGCCGAUAACUUCAACAAAACAUGAUCAUCUCAUACAACAAAAUAUAGCAUCAUGUCUUGACCAUAUCACAUCACAACAUGCCCUGCAAAAACAAGUUAGACGUCCUCUACUUUAUUGUUGCAAGUUUUACGUGGCGGCUACGAGCUGAGCAAGAACCGUUCUUACCUACGCAUCAAAACCACAACGAUAGUUUGUCAAGUUGGUGUUGUUUUAACCUUCGCAAGGACCGGGCGUAGCCACACUCAGUUCAACUAAAGUUGGAGAAACUGACACCCGCUACUCACCUGUGUGCAUAGCACGGCGGUAAAACCCGUAAGCGUACGCAUAAUGUCGGUCCGGGCCGCUUCAUCCAACAAUACCGCCGAACCAAAGUGUGACAUGCUGGUAAGCAGUAUGACUUAUAUCGCCCACAACUCACUUGUGUUCUACUCGUGCAUAUUACAUCAACUCAUAAAACCUGGCUCGGAUGCCACUGUUGAGGAACGUAGUAAUUUCAAAAAAAUUCCUACACACACGCAAGAUCAUGGUGAUGCAUAGCAACAAGAGGGGAGAGUGUUGUCCACGUACCCUCGUAGACCAAAAGCGGAAGCGUUAGCACAACGCGGUUGAUGUAGUCGUACGUCUUCAUGAUCCAACCGAUCAAGUACCGAACGCACGGCACCUCCGAGUUCAGCACACAUUCAACUCGAUGACGUCCCUCAAACUCCAAUCCAGCCGAGCUUUGAGGGAGAGUUCCGUCAGCACGACGGCGUGGUGACGAUGAUGAUGUUCUACCGACGCAGGGCUUCGCCUAAGCACCGCUACGAUAUAACCGAGGUGGAUUAUGGUGGAAGGGGCACCGCACACGGCUAAGAGAUCCAAGGGAUCAAUUGUUGUGUAUAUGGGGUGCCCCCUGCCCCCGUAUAUAAAGGAGCAAGGGAGGAGGAGGCCGGCCCUAGGAGGGGCGCGCCAAGGGAGUAGGAUUCCUACUCCUAGUUGGAGUAUGUUCCUUCCUUUCCUAGUCCAACUAGGAGAAGGGGGGAACGGGGGAAGAGGAGAAGGAAGGGAGAGGGGGUCGCGCCCCAAACCCCUUGUCCAAUUCGGACUGGGCUUGGGAGGGGGGCGCGCCACCUCCUGGCUGCUGCCUCUCCUUCCCACUAAGGCCCAUUAAGGCCCAAUACUUCUUUCCCGUAUUCCCGUAACUCCCUAGUACUCCGAAAAAUACCCAAAUCACUCGGAACCUUUCCGAUGUCCGAAUAUAGUCGUCCAAUAUAUCGAUCUUUACGUCUCGAUCAUUUCGAGACUCCUCGUCAUGUCCCCGAUCUCAUCCGGGACUCAGAACUACCUUCGGUACAUCAAAACACAUAAACUCGUAAUAUAACCGUCAUCGAACUUUAAGCGUGCGGACCCUACGGGUUCGAGAACUAUGUAGACAUGACCGAGACACGUCUCCGAUCAAUAACCAAUAACGGAACCUGGAUGCUCAUAUUGGCUCCCACAUAUUCUACGAAGAUCUUUAUCGGUCAGACCGCAUAACAACAUACGUUGUUCCCUUUGUCAUCGGUAUGUUACUUGCCCGAGAUUCGAUCGUCGGUAUCUCAAUACCUAGUUCAAUCUCGUUACCGGCAAGUCUCUUUACUCGUUCUGUAAUACAUCAUCCGCAACUAACUCAUUACUUGCAAUGCUUGCAAGGCUUAAGUGAUGUGCAUUACCGAGUGGGCCCAGAGAUACCUCUCCGACAAUUGGAGUGACAAAUCCUAAUCUCGAAAUACGCCAACCCAACAAGUACCUUCGGAGACACCUGUAGAGCACCUUUAUAAUCACCCAGUUACGUUGUGACGUUUGGUAGCACACAAAGUGUUCCUCCGGUAAACGGGAGUUGCAUAAUCUCAUAGUCAUAAGAACAUGUAUAAGUCAUGAAGAAAGCAAUAGCAACAUACUAAACGAUCAAGUGCUAAGCUAACGGAAUGGGUCAAGUAAGUCAUAUCAUUCUCCUAAUGAUGUGAUCCCGUUAAUCAAAUGACAACUCAUGUCUAUGGCUAGGAAACUCAACCAUAUUUGAUUAACGAGCUAGUCAAGUAGAGGCAUACUAGUGACACUAUGUUUGUCUAUGUAUUCACACAUGUAUCAAGUUUCCGGUUAAUACAAUUCUAGCAUGAAUAAUAAACAUUUAUCAUGAAAUAAGGAAAUAAAUAAUAACUUUAUUAUUGCCUCUAGGACAUAUUUCCUUCAGCCGAUGCGUUCAGUGCACCAGUCGAUGAUUUCGGUGCGGGAGUUGGAACAAGCGCCGGAGGUGGAUUCGGUGGUUUCGAUGAACUCCAUGGACUCGAUGGCGCGGAGUGAAGAUCGACCAAGAUGAUGCCGGACGUGGUCGUCACUUUUGCAAGACCCUCUUUUGCGUUUGUCCUACAAAACUAGGCUUUUAUUUGCGCGUGAAUUGUGUUCUAUUGUUUGAAUUUGAACUUAUUUGUCGGAAUCGAUGUCAAAUUCAAUAAUUGGGCGUCUUCGGUUUGCGGGUCGACGCGGCGGUGCCGGAGCAGACCCCGCGUAGCCGACCGUAAAAGAGCAUAUUCACUGAAUAUCUUUUUUUACAGGUCCGUUUUGCGGAAACUGAGUCUGAUCACGUCCGCGCCGGCCUGCAUAUACCCUUUUUCCGUGAACUGCAAUAGACUUAUGCGGGUCGGGAUUUUGCGGGGUCUGCUAGAGCUAGAGAUGCUCUAAGGUGUUUUAGACAGUUCAGACAACGCCCAAAAUAGUUUGGUAUGAACUAUCUAAAACGUCUUACAAAAAAGAGCGGAGGGAGUAUUUUUUUUUGGGUGAAACAUUAUGGGUCCUCUUUUGAUUACGUAAAUAUUAUUCAAAUACACAAUACGUUACUUUUAAAAUACAUGGUAAGUACUUUUCAUUAUGCUAUGAUUUUUUCCAAGUUUUCUUUGGGGAAUUUUCAAAGUAAAUGGUGAAGAUUUAUUAAAUACACGAUGUACUUUUUUUUAUAAGAGACGGCCAUUUUUUAGUACACGAUGAACCCUUUUGCGUAACACGACGAACAAAUAUUAACAUGCGACAGAAAUUUUAACACAGGAUGAGGAGAGUGCGAGAGCACGUGGAAGCGGAGCCAGCGCUGGGACAAGCACUGGCGCAGGAGAUGGGGUGCGCUCGAGGAGCGCAUCGACAAGGAGUUGAAGCUGUUGGCCCUUCGGAUCGUCGCUGAGGCCAACAUAGAGGAGCGUGUUCGUAUGGUCUCACUAGAUGUCUAGAUCCCGUGCCUGGCGCACCAUAUGUCAGUGUGAUCUCACGAUAUCAAGGAUCAGGGGAGUCCUUUUAUGGUUCGGCCAGGGGCUAAAACACUUAAGAUAAACAACUAGUUAAAUCAUCACCUUAAUUAAGGCAUGACUCUUUUUUUUAUCAGUGAAAACAACAGGAGAGGCUCCUACCGACAUGGCCCUUUUUACCCAGGUUCAAAUCAUUGUGAUGCGUAAUACCCUAUUCCCGCCUUGUUUUGUUUAUGUGGUGGAUAUAUGGUGAACACAAGUGCUCGCGCACUGCUAGCGAGUGCUUGUGCGUUGUUAUUGUCCUUGAAUCUUUUGUUUGGGAGUGUUGUGGGACCCCUGCAAACAAAAUGCUCCAUGGUCUUACAUGUGGUGCUCAUAAAUUAACUAAAAUAAUAUGUUGACUUUGUUCUUCAUGCCAAGUCCAUAAGACUUAAAAGGUACGUUGAAAACCUACAAAACAUUUCCCGCAAAAAAAAACCCUACAAAACACCAUAGAGGGGAAAUAAACACUAAUAGACAGACUUAAUUAAUGAGAUAAUUAAAGAUAAACUUGAAAACUCACGCACACACGCACAUGCACACGCACGCGCACACACAGAGUCGUCAGUAUUGUUUGUUCGUUUGUUUAGUUAUAAGUUUGUUAUGUUUGCCUUUUACUUUUUUUCUUUUUUUCUUUUCUAACAAGAAGUAUUCCGGAAAAAUCUUAAAUUUACAAAAUUCUGAUCGCAAAUUUAAUCGAUGUUCAUAUUGUGUAAAAAAAGUGUGCAUUUUUUUGAAAAAUAUUCUUACCACAAAAAUAAUUUUCAUGAUUUUUAAGAAAUGUUGACAUGUACUAAAAAAUAUAUGAUCAUUACAUUUUUCAAAUGUUCAUGAAAAGGUAAAAAAACGUUCACCAAAACAUUUUUAACAUGUAUCUUCAAUGUUCAAUGUAAUUUGUAAGUUCACCAUGCAUUUAGAAAAAAAUUGACACAUAUUCAUUUAUUUGAAAAAUGAUUGACACGUCUUUAAAAAAUGUUUACCAUAUAUUUAAGAAAAUGUUCAACACAAUAUUGAAAUUUGCUCAACGUAUUUCAAAAAAUGUUCACCGUGUAUUUAUAGUAAAAUGUUGGAAGGUAUUUUAAAAAUGUGUCGUGUGUUCAAACAAUGUCCAGGGUGUAUUAAAAAAUAUUUGAGAUGUAUCUUACAAAUGUUAAACAUAUAAAAACUGUUCAUCAUCUAUUUACAAAAAUGUUGGAUAUGUAUUCCAAAAAAAUUGAUGUAUAUUCAAAAGUAUUGACUGUAUAUUCAUAAGAAUGUUCGACCAGUAGACCAAAAAUAUUCAAGAUCUAUUCAGAAAAAAUUUGACAUGUACUCCUCCAUUUCUAAAUAUAAGCCUGUUUAGAGAUUUCAAUAUGGACUAUAUACGUAUGUAUAUAGACGUAUUUUAAAGCAUAGAUUCACUCAUUUUACUCUGUAUGUAGUACAUAUGGAAAUCCCUAAAGGGCUUAUAUUUAGAAAUGGAGGGAGUACUUAACAGAAUAAUAUUAAAGAAAAAGCAGAUGAAAGGAAAGAAAAAUGUUUAACACAUGUACAAAAAAUGUUGAAAGUGUAAUAAGAAAAUUUGAGUAACCUAAAACUGGGGCCUAAAAAUCAUGAAUAUGAAAAUAUGAAAAUAAUAGGAAACCUAAAAAGGAAAAGGAAAAAAGAAAAAACCAAACGAAAAUAGAAAACGCACUAAAACAAAUUGAAAGAAAAUAAAAAAGGACGCGGAACCUUCCUUAGGCUGCCUAAACCGGGAGAGCAACUAGUUGACGAGCGCUCCUUCGGAAGCCUCACAACGAUCAGCGCCACUUGGCGCGCUCUCAGUCACCGCCACGUGUCGGGCGCUCCCUUCGGAAUUUUUUCCCGCACGCGUUUUUGGAUUUUUUUUUAAAUGGUUUUUUGAUUUUUUUUUCCACCAUUCUUCCUUAGCUUUUGGACCAAAACAAAAUUCGAAAAAAAAUUGCGCGAAAAAACAUGUUUUUUUUCUUCCGCGGGAGGCACGUUUUUGCUUUUGCGAGAGGCACAACCAUGCCUCUCAGAAAUGAAAAAAAACAUGUUUUCUGUUUUUUUCGCAGAGGCACGGUUUUGCUUUCGCGAGAGGCAUGACCGUGUCUCUCGGAAACGGAAAAAACGUGUUUUGUAUUGUUUUUCCUUCUGCGAGAGGCUCGGAAACGAAAAAAAACGUGUUUUCUGUUUUUUUCUUCCGUAAGAGGCACGAUUUUGCUUCCACGAGAGGCACGGUUGUGUUUUCGCGAGAGGCACGGCCGUGCCUCUCGAAAACGGAAAAAAACGCGUUAUGUUUUUUUCUUCCGUGGGAGGCACGAUUUUGCUUCUGCGUUCUGUUGUGAUUUCUCGAGAGGCACGGCCGUGCCUCUUUCGAAAAGGGAAAAAAACCGUGCUCCCAGUUUGGUUUUUGUGUGAAAAAAGUUCGUCAAAACCUAUCAACAUGGUAUCUAAUUUUGAAGAUCUCGACGCGAGGAAUCCAACGGUGAAAACGGUUCGAGAUUUGGAUGCACGGCUUAAGAGAUAAAACGUUUUGAAUAAACGGAUCUACGAAAAAAAGGGAAAAUUUUCCAUGUUGCGACAAAUGGCGCACAUGCAGCAUGCCACUUCUCACAACCUGGGAAGAUGGGAGUGAUCUUUACAAUGAGUACUACUCAAUUCGUGAUUUCACUAAACCGGAGUACUAAAACCAUGCUAUGGGCCGGCUCACUUCAAUGGUCCCCCAUAUCCUAUUUGGUGCCCUUAGCACCAGUUAUAGGCAUUUCUGUAAACCGUUGCACACCACUAAUCUAUCUUGGGCUGGGCCCAUUUAGAUUUUACACUUUACUUCUCGACAACAAUUCCUCCUUUCCGAAACACACGCAUCGCACGUGAAUGGCCAGGCCAAUAUAAUAUUCGCUUUUCUUUUCAUAAAGGUUCCCAGUAGGUUUUGUGAAGCUUCUACAUGCUUCCGGCUUUUUUAUUUUGCUUUUCCGAUUUUUUUUCUUUGUUCGCAAUUUAUUUUCAAAUUCUUGAAUUUUUUUCAAAUCCACGAACUUUAUUCUAAUUCAACGAUUAUUUUGUGAAUGCGUGAACUUUUUUCAAAUCCAUUGAUUUUUCGUAAAAUCCAACAAAUAUGUUUUGAAUGCGUGAACUUUUUCCAAAUUCAUUAACUUUUUCAAAUCCAUGAACUUUUUCAAUUCUGCAAAUAAAUUUUUUGAAUGCGUGAACUUUUUUGAAAUCGUGAACUUUUCUGAAGUUGUGAACUUUCUGAAGUUCAAGAAAGUUUUCAAAUCCAAAAGAAAUUUGACCUCGUGAACUUUUCUGGAGUUUGAACCUUUUGAAGUUCAAGAAAAUAUUCAAAUCCAAAAGAAAUUUGAACCCGUGAACUUUUAAAAAAAAUUGUGAAUUCAAUUUUCGUGUGCAUUUUUUAAUAUUUUCUUUUGAAUUUUUCGUAUUUUCUAAAGAAGUCAACGGUCAACGAUGGCCUGGUUAACUGUGACCAGUCAACUGUCAAACCGAGCGACCAGAAUCGGGUGAACUGGCAUGUCCUGAGCGAGCACUCGCCUCGUUGCUGGGCCGGCUGAUGGAGGGGAGGCGCAUGAGGCGCUGGGGAGGUGGUCUCGAUGAUCUGUAUGGCAAUAAGUGAUACUCCCUCCGUUCCAUAAUAUAGUGCUUAUAGAUUUUCUCAAAAGUCAAACUUUACAAACUUUGAUCAAGUUUGUAGAGAGAAAUAUUUAUAUCUACAAUAGCAAAAAUAUGUAAUGUGAAACUACAUCUUGUGACGAAUCUAAUGAUAUAUAUUUCGCACUCUAGAUAUAAAUAUUUUUCUCCACAAACUUGGUCAAAGUUUAUGAGGUUUGAUUUUUUUAAAAAUCAAUAGGCACUACAUUAUGAAACGGAGGGAGUACUAUAUAGCGAUCACAUACAAAAUGGGCUUGUCUCAAAAAAAAAUGGGCUCAUUAAAAGAUGAGAAGACAGAGUUUUUUUUUGCGGAAAUAAUUCUUGUAUUACUCAAUCAAAGGGGUUCAAUCACGGCUAACUGCGUCCAAAACGACCUCAGGUCCUGAUCCAAGCCAGACGGCAGUACGGCAUUGGGUCCUACCAAAGUUUGGUAGAAUAUAUGACUGGAAGAAUUACAACUGCGGCGUAUAUGAGUAAUACAAGAAGUAUGUUCAAACAUGCUAUCUUUGAUCUCUCUUAUAAGAAAAGCAUACUUCGAUCUGUUUGUGUCUCCACUUCUGACCAUGUUCACUGCCUCCAAAUUAUCACAUUCGAUAUCAAUUGGUGGGCUGCUCCAUUGUAGUGCAAGCAUUACUCCCUCCCUGACUGCUAAAAUCUCAGAUUCUAGCACAUCAUUGCAUGAGAACAGAUGCCUACAAGAGGGGGCGGGACAAAUGGGUUCUGGUAAUUUUGACCAUAAACCUAUUUGUCGCUGGCCCGAUGCUACAGCCGUUAAUUAAAGUUUGUGACCUCUUGUAUCACGACGGAGCAACACCGAACUCGUAUCGGUAUCGCUUGGGCAGGGGCAGUGAAGAGAGCAACGGGAUUGGUCUAAGGAAAAAAACAUGGUGUUUUAUUCUGUGUGAGUCUGAUCUCCUGCUGUCUGCACCUGAAAACAUGGUGGUUCUGCUUCCUCUUCAGCCCACAGUUCCUGAUACUUCGGGCAAAGGAUUCACCACGAGAAAUGCCCCAAAAUUCAGCCCACAGUUACAGUACUAAUUAUCUUUUCAGUAUUAUCCUCAUGAAAUGCCUCGCAGGUGGUGAUCUGGGCUCGGGAAACACUCAGCCUACAGUUGCUAACAAACUGCCUUCGUCGCCACCAUAUGUACCAAGCCGCAACAGCAACAAGGUCAUGUAUCGGCAGUUCCCUCAUGCCCGGCUGUAACUUUGUCAAUUCUACAGUGACACUCAGGAUUCAGGUAUUGACCUGCCCUUGGAUAUGGAUUCCUGUAUGACACUCAAGAGCACACCUCCUCGCUGUACUGUUUUGUUAAAUGGCAGCUCCAAACUCUUUGCUGCCAAUCCUAGUAUAAUACUGCUGUCAAUAUAGUGCUGGAAAAUCUUUAUUCUCAAAGAUACAACAAAUAAAAACAUCGACGGAGCUGGAAAGGUCAGGUUGGCAUUGCUCAGCCCGGCGAUGGAAGAGUAGAGGAAAGCAACAACGAAGAAGCUAGUGACUAACAUGGCAGCCGCCGUGGCAUUGCUCGUGACCUCGGAGCAGCAGCAACGGUAGGGUGUCAUGCCUAACGUGCACUGAUAAUUAUUUUAAGUUAAGCUCCUGGCUACUCCCUCUAUCCCAUAAUAUAGGACAUUAUUACAUCCAAUAUGGGGCAAAGUAACAGCAGCGCAAUUGGCAAGCCAACACACAAACAACGAACAAUGUGAGACUAAGACAGAACAUCUGGAGAAAUUUUGUAAUUUGAAACAUAACGUAACAAACUCAGACUUAGAUGAACAAUUCGCCACUCAGUUUACAAUACACACCGACAACCGCCUCAAAAACCACCAAAUCAAGGGAUGAGCACAUCGCGCCGCACCUAGAAACAAACUAGCCUAACCAACAAGUGGAUACGAGACCCAGAUUAUUCAAAAGUAAACACGGCUAU
rnacentral:lncRNA from 1 species